GACAGAGGAUGCAAGCGUUAUCCGGAAUGAUUGGGCGUAAAGCGUCUGUAGGUGGCUUUUUAAGUCCGCCGUCAAAUCCCAGGGCUCAACCCCGGGUCGGCCGUGGCAACUGCUGGGCUGGAGCACAGUAGAGGCGGGUGGAAUUCCGGGUGUAGCGGUGGAAUGCGUAGAGAUCCGGAAGAACACCGGUGGCGAAGGCGGCCCGCUGGGCUGUUGCUGACGCUGAGGCGCGACAGCGUGGGGAGCAAACAGG
rnacentral:rRNA from 1 species